UGUAGAAUAAGGAUAAACUUGGCCGGAAAAAGGAAAUGAGAAAAUUAAUGGGCCUAGAGACUUCGUUUUGACCCAAGAUUUCAAGAAACUAGCGAAAACCCCACCCGUGCGCGCGCGAGAGAGACGCAGAGAGCGAGAAAAGUAGAUAUGAAACUGAAAAAAGGGGUUCAAUUUAUGUGAAUAGGCUAAGUGCGAGCCCAUGAUUAUUCUGAUUGAUUUGAUUCUGCACAAGAAGAAAGCUUAUACCCAUUUGCUAUAUAAUGUGAUUGACUCGCAAGCUCCCGCCUUUCAGCUUCACUGACCUACAAACAGAAACCAGAUUUUCCUGGAAGGAACUGCUUAUGAGAGAAGACAUCUUUAUUUUCCUGGACUCGUGACAUUCAGAGAAGGGUAGACUUCCAGAUGGCAGCUGCCCAAAAGAAAAAGAAAAGAAAUACAGGUACAGACUAGUGGUAGCUUCCCUGAGUUGUAAUUGAAUGCCAAAACGAUUAAGAAGUUUAAGAAACCUCCAGUGCAAGAAAUACAGAAAAGCUGCAAUUGUAUGCCAAUCAAGAUAGCUGAGAAUUUCAUAUAAGUUGGAGAUUUAUUAAAAUUAUUAUUAGGAGAUGUUCUCUUUCUUUAAAAUUGUUAUUAGGAUAUGUUCUUUUUCAUUAAAAUAAAUAAUUUUGCAACACACAAAUGAUGUAACAUAGCAAACUACCCUAGUAGUUCAGUUGGUUGAGAAUACUUCCAUCAUCUGCACAAACAAACACAAAUGAUGUCACAUAGAAAACUACCAAAGUAGCUCAGUUGGUUGAGAUUACUUCUUGUUGUGAAUUUGGCUCGUUGAUAUGCCUAAAUUGAUUAGGAUUCAAGGCAAAACCAGAUGGGUAAAUGAAGAUUAGUGCGCACAGGAAUUCUUCUAGUAUCCUAAUUGGUUUUGGAAUAGGAAGAGUUAUUCCUAUUGAUUUAGACCUAGAAAGUAAGUUCUAUUCUAGUUAGGAAUAGGAAAGCUAGCUCUCUUUCCUUGUUCUAAUAGUUUUAGGAAUCCUAAUGUGACAUGUUUGUAACCAGCACCUACAAUCUAUAAAUAAGGCUGCAGGGAGGUCACAUAAUGUGUCCUCAGAUCAGAGAAGAGAUCAAAGAGAGAUCUCAGAGAGUUCUCAGCUACAUAUAAACACAGGGGCAGGGAGAGCCAAGGGUGAUAGAGAGAUCUAGCAAAGGGGUUGGGGAUUAGCAUAGGGAUUUCAAUAAGUACUUGUAAUCAAGUUGUUGUUCUCCAUAUUGCUAGUGAUUCUCAAGAGAGAUCACACAGGGGACGUAGGCAAAGUUUUUUGUCGAACCUCUAUAAAAUUCUGCAUUCGUGUG